GAACGCUGGCGGCGUGCCUAAUACAUGCAAGUCGAUCGAACAGACGAGGAGCUUGCUCCUCUGACUUUAGCGGCGGACGGGUGAGUAACACGUGGAUAACCUACCUAUAAGACUGGGAUAACUUCGGUAAACCGGAGCUAAUACCGGAUAAUAUAUUGAAUCGCAUGGUUCAAUAGUGAAAGACGGUUUUGCUGUCACUUAUAGAUGUAUCCGCGCCUCAUUAGCUAGUUGGUAAGGUAACGGCUUACCAAGGCAACGAUGCGUAGCCGACCUGAGAGGGUGAUCGGCAACACUGGAACUGAGACACGGUCAAGCCUCCUACGGGAGCAAGCAGUAGGGAAUCUUCCGCAAUGGGCGAAAGCCUGACGGAGAACCGCCGCGUGAGUGAUGAAGGUCUUCGGAUCGAAAACCUCUGUUAUUAGGGAAGAACAAAUGUGUAAGUAAAUAUGCACGUAUUGACGGUACCUAAUCAGAAAGCCACGGCUAACUACGUG
rnacentral:rRNA from 1 species